rnacentral:lncRNA from 1 species
GCGUGGAUCCGGGGGUGGGGGUGUUCCUGAGGGUUGAACCCUCCCACUUUUUUGGGACGAUUAAUGCAUUUGAAUGGGGACAAGUAGUUGGAACACCCCCUUUUUGUCCUGGGUUAGGAACCCCCUUUUUAAAAUGGCUGAAUCCGCCCCUGUGCAUGCCACAACCAGAAUGUAAUUCCUUUGUCCCAAAUACUAUGACUUUCCCUGAGCCAGACAAAAACCCUAACCAAAUACACAAAGUCAAAAAAAAAAAAAAAAGAAGCAAAAAAAAUGAUAAUUCAUAAAUAAAACAAAACUACAUGUUACAGCCUGUAAAGGACAAGUAAGUUUAUUAUAAAUAGGGUCCAGACUUCAGACAUACACAUACAGUAUGUGGAAGGGUUAAACAGUUAAACAUAUUUGUAAACAGACAGACCUCAGCAUAACCUUUGACAGUGAUGUUACAGCAUAACAGAACUAACUAAACCAGAUGUUCUGCAGGGCACAGCUUUAUAUGACGGCAGAGGUCAAACCCUGAACAGUUGGGGCAAGUAUGGACACAACAUUUAAGCUUGAUACAGCUCUGAAUUUGGAUUGUGAUUAAAUAGUUGACACAACAUAGGUUUCUAACACAGAAUGAAUGUGGUCUAAGAACUUAAACUUAAAAACUUUAAAUUGGACAUUACCUAUUAUGGUCCAUAUCAAAAAUCUAAAUACAUGGUUAGAUUUAGCCAGGGUUGGCAAAGUAUUACCUGCCCGGGUUUUACUGGGCAGGAAAACCCGGGUUUUCCCAGGCUGGGCAAUACUCCCUGAAACGGGGAAUACUGGGCAAUAUGAUUUUUUAAGCUUAUCUCAACACAAAAUAGUAAAGACUUGUUGUAGUUUCAUAGUAUUAUAGCUAAAUAUAUACAUUUUAUACAGAUAACCAUUGAGAGUCAUUUAUAAAAUCAAAAAUUCAAUUUCAUUCUCUUCUCCACAUAAAUUCUAUGUAGGAAAAAUAC